GACUCUCGACAACGGAUAUCUCGGCUCUCGCAUCGAUGAAGAACGUAGUGAAAUGCGAUACUUGGUGUGAAUUGCAGAAUCCC
rnacentral:rRNA from 1 species